ensembl:lncRNA
GGGACCUUAAAAGCUGCUGGGACCUCCGUUUUGCUGGAGAAAGGUUUAAUAUAAAUUAAGCGGGGUGAUGAUUAACUACGGCAGCAUCUGAAGCGCGGUGAGGAGCGAGCGCUGCUCUCUGCCCUUGGAAACCAAAGCAAUCCCUUCCCGAGUGGAGAGGGAGCACUCAGCAUCCUUCCCUCGGCUGCGUCCUUCCCAGAGCUAACCCUCCGUGCUGAAAGCCGAUGGUUAGAAGUAGCAGCACAAUGCAAAAACCCUGCGGUUUGCUCCUGAAGUUCGUGUUUUUGUUAACAGAGCUUCGCCGGCUUCAAAGUUACAGGAAGCAUCUGUAAUCCACAGCUGCGGGUGCUCCAGCCCCGAGUCCUGAUAAAAUCUACACCUAUGCUUCUGCAUGAAUGAAAACAGGCUGCUGGACCUGACCGAAAUGCAGCUCGUGUUGGUGAAGUUUUGUGGGUGCCAUCGCCCUCCUUCCUGUUGUGCACCCCAGCGCCUGCUCUGCUCACAUCUCCAUCACGUUCACUCCUCGCACACCAUUUGCCCCAGUCAAGGGACACCCCAGUCAAGUGGCAUCCCCAGCUGCCCCACAACAUGGAGGCAGAGACCCCCCAGCUGCUCGCUGGAGGUUCAGCCUCUUGGCCAAAGAGUGAAGCACUUUCUCUGCCAAGUUCCCUUCUCUCAGGGUGCACAUGCACCCAAAGCAGCACUGUACUGACCUCCCUCCCCAUGCUCACCUCACUGUGCCACUCACCCUGCAGAGUGAAGCCAGCAGUACAUACUGUUCAUACAACGUUUUCAGACCACUUCAGCUCCCCUUCUCAAUCUCUGUGGAAGAGCCGUGCAACAGUUUAAGUUGGGACUUGGCAAAGCAAUGUUGCAGCUGCAGAGGAUGCACGAUGCUUAGCAGAGGUGACCUGUGACGUGGGCUCUGCUAGGUUUCACACCUGGAGCAGCACAGGUAGCAACCCGAGGCUUGCAGACGCCACUGGCAUCUGAUGCUUGUGGGUUUGUUUCAAAAAUCAUACUCUGAAUUCCGAUAGAGCUCUGCCUUCCUUCCCUGCUGCUGUAAGUGGAUGCUCCAACACAGAAGGCUGCCAGGCAGGAGUUGUGAAAAUAUGGCUGUACGAUCUUUAAUUCUUUGUUUUUGCAAAGACUGGUUUAGAACAGUGGUAAAGGGACACAACUGUCUUAAAUUAAUCAUUUUCCUAAGUUGAAAAAUACCCUUCUUUUCCCAUAAUUAUUUUCAGUUCAAGAAUUCAAAAAUUCAGCUGCAGUGAAGUUUAAUCCAUCUCUAUAAACGCACAAGAAUGGAAAAACACGCAGCUUUUCAGAGGCUUCCAGCAAUACCCAGAAAUAUGUGUAUAAAUUUCCAAACAGCAAAUUUAAAAAGCCUGCAGAGAAAAGAAGUAAAAAAUCCUGAAUUAAAACUCUCUGUUUGUUAUUGGUGCAUGAGUUAUGCCGUAUCAGAUGUCACCCACUUUCGCUUGCCCCAGAACAACAGCUUGGACAAGUGGGAAAUAUUGGGUACUCAGUGAAAAUGGGGUGUGAUGCAGCUCCACAGCAGUCUCAGGAUGGGAGUCUCUUUACAAUGAACAAAAUGAUUUCUGUCUUUGUAUUUUUCAAAUGUUCCAACACCACAAAGUCGUGCCACAGUAGAUUAAACAGAAAAAUAACAGUUUCUGAAAUACAAUCUCCAAAAAAAUAAUUGCAGGAGAAAUAUUCAUUCCUAGUCCAAUAAAUCCCUAAUUUUAAAUGUCAGCUGCAAAGCAUAAAUCCUUUUAAUAGAUUUCAAACUGCGGUGACAAAGUUGUAAUUGUAGGGUCCAGCCCACUCGAAAGAACUGAAUGCCGUUGCUCUGUAUUAGCCACCCUUCUGGUUUAAUUUCUGUUUUUUUUUUCCAGGGGUUUUGUUUUGCUUUGCCUUGUUUUGGGUUUGUUCUUUUCUUUUUUUUUUUUUUUUUUUUUUUUGGUCCUUGUUUGUUUGUUUGUUUUUGCUGCGGCAUUUUAAUCUCCUCUCUUUUAGGAAUUUUCUGUUACAUUCCUGAGCCUGGUUCUGGAAUACUUUCAUCUCAGAUUGAGCAGAAUCUUGUUUCUGUUCCUCAGUAGAUGUCUGAAG